AUGCAGUGGCCAUUAGUCUUGAUGAUCUCUUUUCACAGUUUGCAUACAAAGAUGGAAACUUUAGUUCCAGUAAAAGGAGAACUGAAGAUGAGAAGAUAGUCGUCAAGUCACAUGUUUGUGGCCCUCUCUCUCGAACGCUCAUCUCCAUGCAGAAGUCUUCAGAAACUGGUUCUAUGAUUGGAAAUGAGAGUCAUUUAUCACAUUGGGAAGGAGG
rnacentral:misc_RNA from 1 species